AUUACUUAUAAUUUUAUAAUGUUUCUUUCUCAACUCAAACAGACAAACUUAAACUAGCCUAAAAAAUACAAAAACUAAAAAAUGUGUACAGUACUGUUUGCAAAAUAACAAUAUUUUACAAAAUUAAAUAAAUUAAAAAUAUAUUUUUCAAAAUAAAAGGCAUUUCUGCUGUGCAAACUUGUUAGGUUUUCUAAAUAGUACAACUAAAUAAAAUAAAUAUAAUAAAUAAGAUAAUACAUAUUUUAAAAAAAUAAAUAAAAUCAUAAAUAAAAUCGCAGCCUUUUGCGGUUAUACAAUUGCAAAGGCUGAUAUUUCGAUUGGAUUAAUCGUGCAGCACUAGACAACAUGACCUCUGACGGCAUUGAGUAGUGGCGACCACUUGCCUAUGUUGUAGAUGAGUGACGGUAUGGAGUAGUGGCGACCACUUGCCUAUGUUGUAGAUGAGUGAAGGUAUGGGGUAGUAGCGACCACUUGCCUAUGUUGUAGAUGAGUGACGGUAUGGGGUAGUAGCGACAACUUGCCUAUGUUGUAGAUGAGUGACGGUAUGGAGUAG
ensembl:lncRNA